CAGCAGCCACGGGAAUACGUAGGGUGCGAGCGUUAAUCGGAAUUACUGGGCGUAAAGCGUGCGCAGGCGGUUGUGUAAGACAGGUGUGAAAUCCCCGGGCUUAACCUGGGUACUGCGCUUGUGACUGCACAGCUAGAGUAUGGCAGAGGGGGGUGGAAUUCCACGUGUAGCAGUGAAAUGCGUAGAGAUGUGGAGGAACACCGAUGGCGAAGGCAGCCCCCUGGGCCAAUACUGACGCUCAUGCACGAAAGCGUGGGGAGCAAACAGGAUUAGAUACCCCCGUAGUCCCUGUCUCUUAUAA
rnacentral:rRNA from 1 species